GAUGAACGCUGGCGGCGUGCCUAAUACAUGCAAGUCGAGCGAACAGAUGAGGAGCUUGCUCCUCUGACGUUAGCGGCGGACGGGUGAGUAAAACGUGGAUAACCUACCUAUAAGACUGGGAUAAAUUCGGGAAACCGGAGCUAAUACCGGAUAAUAUAUUGAACCGCAUGGUUCAAUAGUGAAAGACGGUUUUGCUGUCACUGAUAGAUGGAUCCGCGCCGCAUUAGCUAGUUGGUAAGGUAACGGCUUACCAAGGCAACGAUGCGUAGCCGACCUGAGAGGGUGAUCGGCCACACUGGAACUGAGACACGGUCCAGACUCCUACGGGAGGCAGCAGUAGGGAAUCUUCCGCAAUGGGCGAAAGCCUGACGGAGCAACGCCGCGUGAGUGAUGAAGGUCUUCGGAUCGUAAAACUCUGUUAUUAGGGAAGAACAAAUGUGUAAGUAACUAUGCACGUCUUGACGGUACCUAAUCAGAAAGCCACGGCUAACUACGUG
rnacentral:rRNA from 1 species